AGGGUUUGAUCAUGGCUCAGAACGAACGCUGGCGGCAUGCCUUAUACAUGCAAGUCGAACGAGAAAGUCACUUCGGUGGCGAGUACAGUGGCGCACGGGUGAGUAACGCGUAGAUGAUCUACCCUUCAGUCUGGGACAACUCUUGGAAACGGGAGCUAAUACCGGAUAAAACCUUCGGGUUGAAAGAUUUAUCGCUGGGGGAUGAGUCUGCGUACCAUUAGCUUGUUGGUGGGAUAACGGCCUACCAAGGCGACGAUGGUUAGCGGGUCUGAGAGGACGAUCCGCCACACUGGAACUGAGACACGGUCCAGACUCCUACGGGAGGCAGCAGUAGGGAAUAUUGCGCAAUGGGGGCAACCCUGACGCAGCAAUGCCGCGUGAGUGAAGAAGGCCUUCGGGUCGUAAAGCUCUUUUAUGGGGGAAGAUGAUGACGGUACCCCAUGAAUAAGCACCGGCUAACUACGUGCCAGCAGCCGCGGUAAUACGUAGGGUGCGAGCGUUGUUCGGAAUUACUGGGCGUAAAGGGUGCGUAGGCGGCUAGGUGUGUUAGGUGUGAAAUCUCGGGGCUCAACCUCGAAACUGCGCCUAAAACUGCCUAGCUAGAGUAUGAUAGAGGAAAGCAGAAUUUCUAGUGUAGAGGUGAAAUUCGUAGAUAUUAGAAAGAAUACCAAUUGCGAAGGCAGCUUUCUGGAUCAUUACUGACACUGAGGAACGAAAGCAUGGGUAGCGAAGAGGAUUAGAUACCCUCGUAGUCCAUGCCGUAAACGAUGUGUGUUAGAUGUUGGAAAUUUAUUUUCAGUAUCGCAGCGAAAGCAAUAAACACACCGCCUGGGGAGUACGACCGCAAGGUUAAAACUCAAAUGAAUUGACGGGGACCCGCACAAGUAGUGGAGCAUGUGGUUUAAUUCGAAGAUACGCGCAGAACCUUACCAACACUUGAAAUGUUCGUCGCGACUCUAAGAGAUUAGAGUUUUCGGUUCGGCCGGACGAAACACAGGUGCUGCAUGGCUGUCGUCAGCUCGUGUCGUGAGAUGUUGGGUUAAGUCCCGCAACGAGCGCAACCCUUGCCCUCAGUUGCCAGCAGUUCGGCUGGGCACUCUGGGGGGACUGCCGGUGACAAGCCGGAGGAAGGUGGGGAUGACGUCAAGUCCUCAUGGCCUUUAUAUCCAGGGCUACACACGUGUUACAAUGGGGGUCACAAAGGGCAGCGAAACGGUGACGUGGAGCGAAUCCCAAAAAAGCCCUCUCAGUUCGGAUCGCAGUCUGCAACUCGACUGCGUGAAGCUGGAAUCGCUAGUAAUCGCGGAUCAGCACGCCGCGGUGAAUACGUUCCCGGGCCUUGUACACACCGCCCGUCACACCAUGGGAGUUGACAGGGGCAGAAGCCGCCGAGCCAACCUUCGGGAGGCAGGCGUCCAAGCUCCGGUUGAUGACUGGGGUGAAGUCGUAACAAGGUAGCCGUA
rnacentral:rRNA from 1 species